CCUACGGGAGGCAUCAGUGAGGAAUAUUGGUCAAUGGACGGAAGUCUGAACCAGCCAUGCCGCGUGCAGGAUGACUGCCCUACGGGUUGUAAACUUCUUUUAUAAAGGAAUAAAGUGAGGCACGUGUGCCUUUUUGUAUGUACUUUAUGAAUAAGGAUCGGCUAACUCCGUGCCAGCAGACGCGGUACUACGGAGGAUCCGAGCGUUAUCCGGAUUUAUUGGGUUGAAAGGGAGCGUAGAUGGGUUGUUAAGACCGUUGUGAAAGUUUGCGGCUCAACCGUAAAAUUGCAAGUGAUACUGGCAGUCUUGAGUGCAGUUGAGGUAGGCGGAAUUCGUGGUGUAGCGGUGAAAUGCUUAGAUAUCACGAAGAACUCCGAUUGCGAAGGCAGCUUACUAAACUGCCACUGACAUUGAUGCUCGAAAGUGUGGGUAUCAAACAGGAUUAGAUACCCCAGUAGUC
rnacentral:rRNA from 1 species